rnacentral:tRNA from 1 species
AAAAUCCGUCGAAUUUCAAAUUCGUGAGGGUUCAAGUCCCUCUAUCCCCA